rnacentral:rRNA from 1 species
UACGGAGGGUGCGAGCGUUGUCCGGAAUCACUGGGCGUAAAGGGCGCGUAGGCGGCCAACUAAGUCAGACGUGAAAUCCCUCGGCUUAACCGGGGAACUGCGUCUGAUACUGGAUGGCUUGAGUUUGGGAGAGGGAUGCGGAAUUCCAGGUGUAGCGGUGAAAUGCGUAGAUAUCUGGAGGAACACCGGUGGCGAAGGCGGCAUCCUGGACCAACACUGACGCUGAGUGAGCGAAAGCCAGGGGAGCAAAACAGGGG